GAUGAACGCUGGCGGCGUGCUUAACACAUGCAAGUCGAACGGAAAGGCCCAAGCUUGCUUGGGUACUCGAGUGGCGAACGGGUGAGUAACACGUGGGUGAUCUGCCCUGCACUUCGGGAUAAGCCUGGGAAACUGGGUCUAAUACCGGAUAGGACGAUGGUUUGGAUGCCAUUGUGGAAAGUUUUUUCGGUGUGGGAUGAGCUCGCGGCCUAUCAGCUUGUUGGUGGGGUAAUGGCCUACCAAGGCGUCGACGGGUAGCCGGCCUGAGAGGGUGUACGGCCACAUUGGGACUGAGAUACGGCCCAGACUCCGACGGGAGGCAGCAGUGGGGAAUAUUGCACAAUGGGCGCAAGCCUGAUGCAGCGACGCCGCGUGGGGGAUGACGGCCUUCGGGUUGUAAACUCCUGUCGCUAGGGACGAAGCGUUUUUGUGACGGUACCUGGAGAAGAAGCACCGGCUAACUACGUG
rnacentral:rRNA from 1 species